UCCAAAAUCGAUGCUAAAUUGGUGAUAUCUUUAUUCGGGGUGUUAUAUUGAUUGAGUUUAUAACUCGGUGAUGGAGUGGUUGAGGAAGCUGGUGGCGUGGAUCAAAUACUGGUAUUUCCAGUGGGAGGUGGCCAGCAUGCUGGUUGUCAUGGAUCCCAUAGAAAGGUACUUCUUCCAUGCAUUUACAGUAAUAUUAUUCGCCGUGGUGCUAUAUUCUACGGUAUCCAUAGUAACGGGGCUCUUGGAACUCUCUGGUCUUUCCCCGUCAUUCCAGCAAAUAAUGACGUCAUGGGAAAAUGUCAACUAACAACGUCAUGAAGAAAGAGUCUAAGGUUUUGGAUAAAACAGUCAAUCAUCGAGAUCUAAAUAGAAGUCCUCGUCACCGGUACAGGAAACAUUAUAAGAAGAACUUUUGGGCGACUCGGAUGACUUUAUACAAACUUUGAUUUUCAGAAAUGGAAUAUUUUUCUGCUUGUCACAAUGUUUUUAUAUGUUUGAAUUCUGCAGCAAAAGAACAGAUGUAAAUUGA